GUAUAUUUGCGCUAUUAUAAGCACUAUAACAUUAUCCAUUCUAUAACUUUGUAGGUAUAAUUCAUAGCUAGGGCUUUCAAUAUCAUUUCUAACAUUGUAAUCAUCCCAAGCUACACAUAGUGCACAGGUGUGAGAGGUGGAUGUGUGAUCAAGGUGUGCACAUACCCCAAAAGGCUAGCUACAACCUUUCUCAACAUUCAUUUCAUUAAUGAUCCUUCCGCAGGUUCACCUACGGAAA
rnacentral:misc_RNA from 1 species